GUGCAGCGAGGGGAGCGCGCGGGCGGCCGGGCAGGGCCUCUGGGGCCUGGCUCUGGGCCUGGGCCCUGCAGAGCCGCUCUUGUGUUUGCCUGCCUGUGCACACCUCUUUCUCUGUUUUUUCACAUCUUUUGAACGUGGGAUUGCUCGUACAUCAUACUGUGCCACUGCAUGAUAAUCAGCUUCAGCAGAUGUCUCUCUUCAAGCCUCUUCUUGGGGCUGAGAAAGAAGGAUUUUUGCAAUAACAGUGUGAGCAGAAAUGCAUUUUCUUGGGAAGAUAAGUUUAUACUUCAUCAAUGGACAGCAUGAGAGGAAGUGAUGCUGUAUUAAAAUCAAAAUCCAAAGGACCAGUCUCAUCAAGGAAUCAGUGUACAAGUCCUGAGAGCCAUGCAAGGGAAAGACGGGAUGGAAGGAGAAGCUGGAAGGAAUGGGUUAAAACCUUGUGCCUUUUCCCCUUUGCACAGAAUUAGCUGGAUGUGUUUUGCCCUUUUUGUCUGGAUCACCCAGACAAACUCCACAACACAUAUCCUGCUUGUGUGCCCUCACUACCAGAAGUCACAAAAUGACAGAGUUUCUCCACCAUGGUUUCAUAAAACUUAG
rnacentral:lncRNA from 1 species